AGUCCGCGUUGCUGUGCGCCAUCGCUUCUGGCGCCGCUGAUUGGCAAGGCUCUGUCUCCGUGGUGGAAGGGAAGAUUACGAGCACGGGUCAGAUGAGGGGAGGCGAGGCCGGACCGGGGCGGGAGGGGAGGAGGAAGGAGCUGCGCCCCGCCUCGCCUCGCCGCUCCCCGGUAGUGAUCGAGGGCGCGGCCUCCGGAUCCCUGUCUCGGCAGGUCAGGCAGCGGUCACGGGAUGCGGAAGUGUGGGCGGUGGCCGGAGCCCACGCGGGGACCGCUGUCUCCCAGGCUGGGCAGUGUUGUCGGGAGCGCGGCGGCGCUUUCCGGUGACCAGUCUUGCCCUCUUGCUGUGAGGAGAACAUAGUACAGCUUCCGGUGCCUCCUCCGCUGGUCCCGUCUAUGCUCGGGGAAUGGACUGCUGCCAUGGAGACGUCAAGCAUAGCUCAAAAUAGCUAAUAAGGCAGAGCUGAAAAGGGAAGUAUGGUCAGUACAGAAAAGGAGAAGGAAAAAACCAUUUUGAGCUGCUAACGUAUGAAAUGCAACCAGGAGAGAGGGAAGCACAACGGGUGAGAGGCUGCAGCCAUUAAGGGGAAGAGCUUUCUUCUCUAAGGACUUCGGCUACAAUGAAAAUAGAAUACAAGAAUUUCCAAGUGCUAAUUGAGACAGUUUAAUGAGUAAAAACCUAAGUAUUUUCUUCUGGGUUUACUACUUUUAUGUAUGUAGGUUUUUUCCUCCUCAACUUGAAUUUAAAAAUUUUUUAAAUACAUUUUUUUUAAAUUGUUGUUGCUGCAUACACAUUUUUUAUUGUUGUUGCUGCGUACCUCUUGGGCUGGAUUUCUUUUCUCCUAGAGCUUCCUUUCUAAGUUUCCUCCUCAACCUUUCUUACCUUGUGUGUAGUUUUCUCUGACCUAGAUAAGGUGAAGAUUAGGAUGAAGCUUUCACUUUAUGUAAUGUGAACAUGGUAUCCAUGAAGAUGCAGAGUAAUAACUGCACCUCAGUGUUAGCAGGUCCUAGAAAGCACAGGGGAUUUCUUGCUAAUCUUUACAUUGUGGCAUGUGCCACAAACACCAUUGCAGCCUGUUUCCUGUUGAAUCUCUGUCACUUCUCUGUUACCUACUAGAAGUUUCAGUCCAGAGUGUGGUAAAGCUGGAGGACAUAGAAUCAUAGAAUGGUAGGGGUUGGAAGGGACCUUUAGAGAUCAUCUAGUCCUACCCCCCUGCACACGCAGGUUCACCUAGAUCAGGUUGCAUAGGGACAUGUCCAGGCGGGUCUUGAAGACCUCCAAGGAAGGAGACUCCACAACCCCUCUGGGCAGCCUGUUCCACUGCUACGUCACCUCACAGUGAAAUAGUAUUUUUUCUUAUGUUUAAGUGGAACUUUUUGUGUUCCAGCUUCAUCCCAUUACCCCUUGUCCUGUGCCUAGCUCCUAUAGAAAAAAGGGGUGCCUAACCUCCUGACACCCACCAUUUAGAUAUUUGUAAAUGUUAAUAAGGUCUCCCCUCAGUCUCCUCUAGACUAAACAGCCCCAGUUCCCGCAGCCUUUCCUCAUGUGAAAGAUGUUCCAGUCCCCUGAUCAUCUUGGUGGCCCUGUGCUGGACUCUCUCCAGAAGUUCUCUGUCACUCUUGAGCUGAGGAGCCCAGAACUGGA